rnacentral:rRNA from 1 species
UGCGCAGGCGGUUUUGUAAGUUAGUAGUGAAAGCCCACGGCUCAACCGUGGAAUUGCUAUUAAUACUGCAAGACUUGAGAGUGAAAGGGGCAAGUGGAAUUCCAGGUGUAGCGGUGGAAUGCGUAGAUAUCUGGGAGAACGCCAAAGGCGAAGGCAGCUUGCUGGGUCACUUCUGACGCUCAUGCACGAAAGCUAGGGGAGCGAACA